CCUACGGGUGGCAGCAGUGGGGAAUAUUGCACAAUGGGCGAAAGCCUGAUGCAGCAACGCAGCGUGAAGGAAGACGGCUCUAGGAUUGUAAAACUCUGUUUUUAGUGAAGAAUAAUGACGCUCACUAAGGGGCCAGCCACGGCUAACUACGUGCCAGCAGCCGCGGUCAUACGUAGGGGCCAAGCGUUGUCCGGAAUUACUGGGGGUAAAGGGAGCGUAGGCGGGAAGCCAAGUCAGCUGUGAAAACUACGGGCUUAACCUGUAGACUGCAGUUGAAACUGGCUUUCUUGAGUGAAGUAGAGGUUGGCGGAAUUCGGAGUGUAGCGGUGAAAUGCGUAGAUAUUCGGAGGAACACCGGUGGCGAAGGCGGCCAACUGGGCUUUAACUGACGCUGAGGCUCGAAAGUGUGGGGAGCAAACAGGAUUAGAUACCCUUGUAGUC
rnacentral:rRNA from 1 species